rnacentral:lncRNA from 1 species
UCUGCCACUGUGCCAAGGCAAACAGAAGAAUCUGGUCCCAGACAUCUGGGGGACAAAUCUUGUAGUUGCCUGUCACCAAGCCCUUCCCACUCUUCUUUGUGGUAGAUUGAGCGGCAACCUGGAGAGCUAAUCUGAGCAGUCGUGAGAAAAACAAACAAGCAGAAGAACCUUCUGGAGCUACGCAAGAUAGAAGCAGAAGGAGCGAUUGCUGAGUGGCUGGAGCUUGGGCACAAAGCCACCCACGGGGAAGGCAGAGCCCCCAGGCUGAGGGCAGCAACAGGGCAUCCCAAGUUGUUCUGCUAUAUCUCCACACUGAGAGCCAUUUCCCUGAUACAUCAACGUUUCUGCAGCCAAGUGCACGUUGUGAGGCUCGUCUUGCUGGCCUCCUAAUGGCCCCAUCAGUGUGGCCUGAAGAGAGAAGGGCUUACUCACACUGGACAGAUUCCUGCCUUCAUUCCUGUCCAGCUGCUGUGCAUGCUGCCCUUCCGUAUGUAACCAAGUACCUCAGCCGGGAUGGACCCACGGACAGCAGCUUAUCAUCUCCCAGUUUGGGAGGCUGGGCAAAGCCAAGGUGAGGGCACCAAUAGGCUGUUUG